CUCAGUUCGGAUUGUAGGCUGAAACUCGCCUACAUGAAGCUGGAGUUGCUAGUAAUCGCGAAUCAGCAUGUCGCGGUGAAUACGUUCCCGGGCCUUGUACACACCGCCCGUCACACCAUGAGAGUUGGCAAUACCCAACGUACGUGAUCUAACCCGCAAGGGAGGAAGCGUCCUAAGGUAGGGUCAGCGAUUGGGGUGAAGUCGUAACAAGGUAGC
rnacentral:rRNA from 1 species